UUUUGGCAAGCUAUGUUUUGGGAGAAGAAAUGCCUGGUUCCAAGACCUUUUCAAAUCCAGAGCUAAGGCUAAACUAUGCUGAGAUGAAAUGAUGCAGAGGACACAGAUUAUCUGAUAAAUAUCUACACUGAUCCCAAAUGGCCCCAGAGGACGAAGGUGUUCUAGCUCAUGAGGACUUUAUCAUGUUGCCUUCUUCUCCCUCAAGAGAUGUGUCUGCCUAUGAGCUCUGUGCAAACAAAAAGCACUGUUUACUGAAAGGAUCAUUUUGCUUUUAGCUAUGCAGCAGCUGAAAAUGCUGAGAGUGAUUUUGUUCACCUCUUAUGCUCCAGAAAAACCUGUGUGGCAGAAUUGUCACAAAGAUUUAUGUUCAUGUAGCACCUAUAGGAGAGCUUUUCAGAAGAGUCCUAUGUACAUUCCCUAAUAAAAAUAAGUGAAUAAUCAUUGGCAAUAUACAUGCAAAUUGGCUUUCCAAAGGAUGGAGCCACAAGACAGAGUAUAUCGGUCAAGGGCACCAAAGCAAUUGUGAGCAGUCACCAGAGAAUAAGUCCUUUCAGAAUGCAUGAAAUCAAUCUGGUGCCCUCUGAAAUAUACGGUCCAGUUGCUUAUGUCCAUACAAAUAUUUGCCCUCUCGAUGUGGAGGCACUAAGGAAUGCAGAUUAAAAGGACUGUUUCAGGACUGAGACAAUCACUCCACAGUGAGAAGCCAAGUAAAGACUGAUCAUUAUUUUAUCUGUGCUGAACAACAUUGUAAGCAAAUUGCAUAUAAUUAUGACAAAAUACCAUCAACAACAUGACAGUCUCCUGUCGUGUGCUGGGGCAUUUGGCACACAGCGCUGCCUAGUCAAAUGUUUGUUGCCUUUCUGAUGCUUGGUGUUUGUGUUUUGCCUGUUGCUUUGACUCACACUCUUGCUUCAAUAAAGACUUAUUAUACUGUCA